UCCUCCAUUACCCACAUCUCCCUCUGUCCUGCUGUCAGGCCUUAAGCUUGGCUAGCUUUCCGGGGAGCCCCGGAGGUCCUCUUGUCUCCCCGUCCCCAGACGGGAUCACACACUUGGGCUACUGACACAGCUCUUAAGACUUUUCUUUUCUACAGUUUCCUUUCAUUCCAGCACUCUGAGACAGACAAGUGUGAAGCCAGCCUGAUGAUCACAGAGCAAGCAAGUUCUAGGCGAGCCGCGGUUGCAUGACAAGCUCUACCCUUGAGCUGGAGCCCCGGGGCCAUCAGGGCAGGAACCAUGGUCCUCUCAAAAGCUGUGCGUCCUUAACAGCAACUGCUAAGCCCUCACGAUCCACAAUCACCCUGGAAUUGACAAACAUGAAACCUGCCCUCAGCGCUGGGGCGGAGGCAGACAAGAUUUUCUCUGUGUAGCUUUGGCUGUCCUGGAAUUCCUCCCUACAUAGGCCAGGCCUUGAACUCACAAAGAUUCACCUGCCUCUGCCUUCCAAGUGCCGCCCUUAAAGCAACGUGCCACAACUUUCAAAAGCAGACAUCUUUAUGUGUACACGGAGAGGUACGCACAACUGAACACAGUGCCAUGGUGGCCAGAGGGGGUAUCGGGGCCCUUGGGGCUACUGUGAGCUGAAGAUGCUGGGUGCUGGGGGCAGAGCUCCGUCUCUGUAAGAACAGUACUUGUUCUUACGCUGAGGCCUCACCAGCAACCAAAUAAACUAAUCAAUAACACGAGCUGUGGUGAUGCGCUGCCCAUGGUGUAUGCUCUGGUACAUCUUGCCACUGAUCUCCAGCUUGGUGCUGUGUGAGCUGCUUUUUAGUAUUUUGGGGGUACAGCAUGUCAAGGAACACAAGUGGGGAGCAGAGGGAGCUUUGGGGGGCCAGUUCUCUCUUCCCACCGGGUGGCACUGGGAAUUCAGUGAUGGCUUUUUCUUUUUGAGGCAGGGUCUUUCUGUGUAGCCCUGACUGGCCUAGAGCUUGGUAUGGAGACCAGGCUGGCCUCAGAGUUACGGAGAUUGGCUUGCCGCUGCUGGGAUCAAAGGCGCGAAGCAUCAUGAAUUUUACUUCCGUAUAGCUUUUGUUUAAAACAGCUUCGUUGCCACCAGACCCAGUUUAAAAAUACUUCAGUUGGGGCUGGAGACGUGACUCAGAGGUGAAGAGCGUGAGCAACCCUUCCAGAGGCCCUGAGUUCAACGCAGACAGACACAGAAACACUCCUCUCCACCCCUGCGCCCCCGCCCUUCUGUCUCUGUACCCAGCCUUCGCUGUCCGAGAACGCUCUAUUAGACCAGGCUGGCCUUGAACUCACAGAGAUCCACCUGCCUCUGCCUACCAAGUGGAUUAAAAAUGUGAGUUACAAGGCCCAGCCACCAACAAAACAAAA